rnacentral:misc_RNA from 1 species
UUUCCGUAGGUGAACCUGCGGAAGGAUCACUAAAGAGAACUGCCUUCGGGCUAAUCUCCCACCCUUUGUUUACAUUACCUUUGUUGCUUUGGCAGGCCCGUCCUCGGACCGCUGGCUUCGGCUAGUCCGUGCCUGCCAGAGGACCCAAAACUCAUAUUAUUAAUGUCGUCUGAGUACUAUAUAAUAGUUAAAACUUUCAACAACGGAUCUCUUGGUUCUGGCAUCGAUGAAGAACGCAGC